GACACAGGUAGGCGAGGAGAGAAUCCUAAGGUGAGCGGGAGAACUCUCGUUAAGGAACUCGGCAAAAUGACCCCGUAACUUCGGGAGAAGGGGUGCUUCUUUUGCGAGAAGCCGCAGUGAAAAGGCCCAAGCGACUGUUUAGCAAAAACACAGGUCUCUGCGAAGCCGUAAGGCGAAGUAUAGGGGCUGACACCUGCCCGGUGCUGGAAGGUUAAGGGGACGCGUUAGCCGCAAGGCGAAGCGUUGAACCGAAGCCCCAGUAAACGGCGGCCGUAACUAUAACGGUCCUAAGGUAGCGAAAUUCCUUGUCGGGUAAGUUCCGACCCGCACGAAAGGUGCAACGACUUGGGCACUGUCUCAACGAGAGACCCGGUGAAAUUAUACUAUGCGUGAAGAUGCGCAUUACCCGCGACAGGACGGAAAGACCCCGUGGAGCUUUACUGUAGCCUGAUAUUGCAUGUUGGUACAGCUUGUACAGGAUAGGUGGGAGCCUUAGAAGCCGGAGCGCUAGCUUCGGUGGAGGCGUCGGUGGGAUACCACCCUGGCUGUACGGACAUUCUAACCCAGGACCGUGAUCCGGUCCGGAGACAGUGUCAGGUGGGCAGUUUGACUGGGGCGGUCGCCUCCUAAAGAGUAACGGAGGCGCCCAAAGGUUCCCUCAGAAUGGUUGGAAAUCAUUCGCAGAGUGUAAAGGCAGAAGGGAGCUUGACUGCGAGACCUACAAGUCGAGCAGGGACGAAAGUCGGGCUUAGUGAUCCGGCGGUGCCGUAUGGAAGGGCCGUCGCUCAACGGAUAAAAGCUACCCCGGGGAUAACAGGCUUAUCUCCCCCAAGAGUCCACAUCGACGGGGAGGUUUGGCACCUCGAUGUCGGCUCAUCGCAUCCUGGGGCUGUAGUCGGUCCCAAGGGUUGGGCUGUUCGCCCAUUAAAGCGGUACGCGAGCUGGGUUCAGAACGUCGUGAGACAGUUCGGUCCCUAUCCGUCGUGGGCGUUGGAAGUUUGAGAGGAGCUGUCCUUAGUACGAGAGGACCGGGAUGGACACACCGCUGGUGUACCAGUUGUUCCGCCAGGAGCAUAGCUGGGUAGCUACGUGUGGAAGGGAUAAGUGCUGAAAGCAUCUAAGCAUGAAGCCCCCCUCUAGAUGAGACUUCCCAUCAUUUUAAAUGAGUAAGAUCCCUCAGAGACGAUGAGGUUGAUAGGUCCGAGGUGGAAGCGUGGUGACACGU
rnacentral:rRNA from 1 species